rnacentral:rRNA from 1 species
CAGUCGCCGCGGGAAUACGAAGGGGGCUAGCGUUGCUCGGAAUGACUGGGCGUAAAGGGCGCGUAGGCGGCGAUCAAAGUCAGGCGUGAAAUUCCUGGGCUCAACCUGGGGGCUGCGCUUGAUACUUGGUUGCUUGAGUGGGGAAGAGGGUCGUGGAAUUCCCAGUGUAGAGGUGAAAUUCGUAGAUAUUAGGAAGAGCACCGGUGGCGAAGGCGGCGACCUGGUCCUUGACUGACGCUGAGGCGCGAAAGCGUGGGGAGCAAACAGGAUUAGAUACCCCUGUAGUCCCUGUCUCUUAUAU